GGAACAAUUGUGAGGUGUUAUGUCUGUCUGGCAGGUUUCACCUGACCUUGACCUCAUUUUCAUGGUUCAUUUUCAAGGUUCAUUGGGCAAUUUUGAGUUUUUGAGGUUUGUUCUAUUUCUCAGACAUUAUGUGGAACAAUUUUGAGGUGUACAUGUCUGUCUGGCAGGGUUUGUAUGAAUUUAUCUACUUUUCAUGGUUAAUUGGUUAAUGAUAAUGUUUUUGUAAUUUUGUCAAUUUAUCAGAUACUAUAAGUAAUUGGUUAACUAUAUUUGGAGUAUGGAAUAAUGUUUGAUGAACAUGUCUGUCUGGCAUGGUUCAAAUGACUGUGACCUCAUUUUCAUAAAACAUUGAUAAUGUUGAGUUUUUGUGAUUCUUCUCUUUGUAGUAAAAUCUUCAUAUAACAGACUUAUGUCAUAAUUUAAUGAUAAUUAAAGCAGGCAAGACAUUUCAGUGUGUUCACACUUUUUAUAAAUAUGGUUGCACAUAAUGAUUGAGAUUACAACUAUCCCGUUAAUGGACCUUUUCUAUUAGACUUAUACCAGGUUUGUACUUAUGUGAUGACACUUACCCUUGUGGAGCACCUGACAUAAAAAGAAGAUGUGGUAGGAUUGCCAAUGAGACAACUCUCCACAAGAGACCAAAAUAACACAGAAAGUAACAACUAUAGGUUAC
rnacentral:lncRNA from 1 species